rnacentral:rRNA from 1 species
CAGCCGCGGUAACACGGAGGAUCCAAGCGUUAUCCGGAAUCAUUGGGUUUAAAGGGUCCGUAGGCGGUCUUGUAAGUCAGUGGUGAAAGCCCAUCGCUCAACGGUGGAACGGCCAUUGAUACUGCAGGACUUGAAUUAUUGGGAAGUAACUAGAAUAUGUAGUGUAGCGGUGAAAUGCUUAGAGAUUACAUGGAAUACCAAUUGCGAAGGCAGGUUACUACCAAUUGAUUGACGCUGAUGGACGAAAGCGUGGGUAGCGAACAGGAUUAGAGAUCCCCGUAGUCCCUGUCUCUUAUACACA